UCUGACCACAGAGGCAAGAUAGAGUUAAGGCAUCAAUCAAAAGCAAACAGUGACUUUUAGCAAUGCUUGGGAAUUGUUGUUAUUAAAUAAUUAACAACUAGCAAGACAGUGUACUCCAGACACCGCUCCCUGGGCCAAGUGUGCUUCUGGCCUCUGUUAGCUGUGGCCACUCAGCACAUGGGCACCCCUGCUUGUUCCCUCCAUCACCCAGACCUUUCUACGUGGGCUACAGCAUCAUGGAUGAGAGGCUGAAGUGCUUGAAAGGUGAGAAAUAAAAGCACCAGGUCUUUCACCCUGCAAGCUGCUGCACAGCACAGCAACAGAAUAAAUGAGACAUGUGCCCUGGAAGCCAGGCAUUGCCUUUGGAGAUGUUGGACACAGCAGGUCACAAAAUCACAGAAUGGCUGAGGUGGGAAAGGACCUCUGGAAACCAUCUGGUCCAACCCGUUAUCAAGCAGUGCCACCCAGCACAGGCUGCCCAGGACCACAUCCAGCUGGUUUUUGAAGAUCUCCAAGGAGGGAGACUCUAAAACGUCCCUGGAUAACCUGUGCCAGUGUGUUCCAAUUUGUAUCCAUUGCCUCCUGUGAGUGGCCAAGUCUGCUGCCUGUGGGAUUUGGACCAGCUCUCCCAAACAGGAGAAGAAUCACACAGGAGAGAAACAAGAAGGGGAAACGAGAGGGAUGAAUGCACCUGUGAUGGAGAUGAGCUUGGCACCAGGAUGCCAAGCACCUCACUGCUACAUGCACACAUAGACUCUUGCUUCAAGGGAGCUGGCUCACAUCCAGACCAUCUCCAGCUGGACCAAAAGCUGAUAUUUAUUGCUACAAAACCAAUGUAUCAGUCCUAAUUUAUGCUAUCAAGGAGAGGGAACCUCCUUUCCCCAGCCUUGGUAGCUUCAUGGUAGUGGCUAUGGGUUGAACGUGGCCAGGACAAUUUGCAGCCUUUGGGCUUUGGGAAGUGCAGCAAGGCCUAGGUGGCAAGCUGCUAUAGCAAGCCAUUCCUUAUCAUUUCAGGUGAGAAAUAUGGAAAAUCAGCCCAUGGGCACCUCUCAGAAAACUGCCUUUUGCAGCAAAGGGCAGUCUUGCUGCUUAAAACAAGAGCUGAGAUGCCUGAGGUUGUUAUCUGCUGCAGUUGUCCCUGUGAAAAUAUUAAAUGAAUUUCAUAUUGUCCCUGUUCCCUAUGAAAUAAAUUCCUGCAGCAGGAAUACCUUUACCUACUUCAGAGGCAGGCUGUAAGCAUCUGCUCCUGCCAGACUGGGGCAAAGGCAAAAUCUUAUUACCCCUUGCUCUCUCCUCAGUUCAGACUGAGCUGAAGUCCCUAUAAAAACAGCUCACAGGCUGAACUUUCCUCACCCUCCCCUUCCCCAGCUGAGACGGAGAUAAAGCUCUGCCCCUAAAACUGCUUCUGAGCUGGAUUAGUGGGAAACCCCUCCCCAAAAAGCCAGCUGGGUUGGGGGCAGCCCUUGGCGCUGCUCAUGGGGAAAGCAGCUUAUGUCCCCGCAGAUUGGAGCAACCCUGCCAGCGCCACAAAAUGCUCUCCUGGAAGACAAAGCAGAGAGCUGUCACCCGAUUCCUCCAGCUCAAACACACACACAGCCCCAAAAUUGCUGGGAUUUCUUUGGCAUGGCUGUCCUAAUGACCUUCCUCCUCUCUUUCACCAGUCUCAUGAGCCAUGUGCUAUAAGACCGAAGACUCCUGCACAUAGACUUUGCAAUACAGAGAAAAAUCUGCUGGAUUAAUCCAGCUUUUAUUGAGGAUGCUAAUAUGUCUGCAAUCUCUAAAAUGGGAACAACUCAGAAAUAAAACUUUACCUUUUCAAUUUUGGAGAUUUUAACUGUUUCUGAGGCAUCUGUCCUGCACCUGGCCGCAAACACAGACUUCUUUUAAACCCAAAGACUGCUCUUCCUAUCUCCCCUUCCAUGUUGCAACCUUUAUGUUGUACACCUAAAACACCACCAAGAAGUUCUUUCAAAUCCCCAAACCUAUUUUUUUGGCCAUUUUAAAGCAGAUACUGUUAUGCAAUGUAAGGGUUUCCAGGGACGGAUCCUGGACACUUUUGGUGUAACAUCAGACCCUGAAGAGGACCGUGCAUGGACACAAGCAUCUCUAGUGUCCAAACCAUCCCAAGACACACCUGAAUUGCCUUCAGAAGAUGCCUCUGCUCUUUCCAUUAACAGAAGCUGGAUUCAAGGACAACUCAGCUCCAACCCUAAAGACCUUGGUUAUGUAUCUGAGCCUACUUGGAACUCAUCUGGGUCCUUCAGGUGGAGAAAAAGAGCAACUUGGGCCCAUUCCCUCCCCACUGCCCCGUGCACUUGAGCAGUGCCUCUGGGGAUGGUGGUGGCCCCAGUGCUUCAUCAGGCUGCCUUGCACACGAACGAUGCAAAUCACAACCCGGGGAGUGCUGCGUGUUUAGAGGCUGCCUUCCUGCAGCUUCUUUAUUGCAUAUGCACAUCUAAAAUCAGGUGCUUCGGCAGAGCUGGGGGCUCUUUCCCAUUCAUUAGCCCUUCUGCUCUACGCUGGGCGUCGAGGCAUUGCACGCAGUUAAUUUCAAUAAGUCGUUUGCAUUCUCCCUGCCUCCUUGCGAUGCUUUGUCACCGAGCUGUCACCAGCAGCACACACAACACUGAGCAGCCCUGGCUUGUGGCCAGGAAAGCCGUGACACGUACGUUAUUUACGGGACGGGAAAGGUGCCUGCAGCACGUGGAGCAGCACAUGCUGCAAAGGCACAAAGAUUUGCAAAAAAAGCAGACAGAUGCAGCGAUCAGAAAACUUCAGUGACAAGACUCAAUAAGUGAGCGGUCAAUGGAGGAUUUUGGUGCCUUCAGGGUCUGGAGCAACU